CGACCUUUUCCAGAGAUUUUAUGGCUGUGAAACCAUGGAAGAUGUUGUGUGCACCCAUUCAUUCUCAGUGGGAUCCUAGCAGUCUCCUAAAGUCUCCUAAUCCAGACAAGUAAAGGGAUGAAGUGAUAUAAAGGAGCAAUACCUCCAAGCUUAUCACAUGGGGCGGCUGCAGAAAAGACUCUUGACCAGGAGAGAUGGGGAAAUCUUGUAAGCAGCCACAGAACUCCAGAGUCUACAAAACCAGGAUGCAUGUGAUCUUUAUGAGACCACUCAACCACCUCACCUGAUCAUUAUAUGGAUUUUUGCUAAGUAAAUCAUCGGGCUCACUCGUUAGGUACAUCUGAUCAACCUAAAUAGAUAAAUACAAUGCUUCGCUAUUGGAAUAUGACAUUCAUAAGGUGAUGGACAAUGUUUAUUUUUCCUAAAAAUAUGAAAUACAAUAGUUUGAAGGAAAAAAAAUAAAGGCUAGUAGAGCACAAACGGUGACGUGUUGUUUAGGGAGAGCACAGGAGCAACCGGAU
rnacentral:lncRNA from 1 species